CACACCCAUAAUGUUGCAUGCUGGGUCUGACUGAGCUGCUCGUGCGCGCGGUGACCUCUGCCUGCGCGUGCGCGGCCUUUCUGCCAUUUUAACAAUCCCUGUUGCAACUGUUGCAACUCAUUCUCGACUCCUAACUAUUGAAACGUGUUAGAGGAGCGAGUUUGUCGCAGAUAGUUGUAGUUAAACACGGAGAGGCAGCGAGCAGGAGCCGGACUUCACCGUGCGGAAGCUGAAGGAGGCCCGUCCCGACAGGUUGCUGAGCCAGUCCUGAUGUAACUCUGUCAGCAGUGUUGGAUGGCAGAGUCUAUAGUGUUGGCUGAGCUUGUCAUCUGACCCUACUGACAUCCUGAGAACACCGAUCAAUACAACACAACACCAGAGGAAGAGGGCCAAAGUGAGAAUGAUACAGCAAAAGGCUCAAGAUGCUUUGUUGAGGGAGAGAGAGAGAGAGAUUGAACCUGAAGAACAGAAAAGCGAUACAUUCAGAUUUGGACACAUGGUACUCGUCCUGUUGAAGGCUUUGCUUCCUGCCUGGAGGAACAGAGGCUUCUUACACCUGCUCCAGUUACAUACGGUCCACUUUAUAAAAACCAAAACUACCAACUGAUAAACUGACAGCAGUCUCCCAGAAAGCUGCAGGGGAGAAGGAAAAUAUAAAGAGAGAAAGGUCUGGGAGACUAAAUGUAUACAUGUGAGCAGGGAGAGAGUGUGAGAGGUCGACUGAGGUGGAAGAUGAGCAGGAGGGAGAGGAGAUUGGCUUCUUGCUGACAGUGCACAACGCUCCAGGCCUUGGUCAGGUCUGAGGAAGUGCUGCUGUCUUUUCAGUGAUUUCUACAGCCGUGUGGUGGUCUGCUGCAGCGAAUGGGGGAUAUCGCAUGUCGUCCGUCUAUAGAAGCAACAUGAGCUCAGACCGUGGAAAGUCAGGAUGUCUCAUUUAGGGGAACAAUUGAUCCAACAGUAAGUGUUGGAGGGAAACCAGGCAGGUCUAACCACAUCAGACCUUCUAUAAAAGGUGCCAUAUGUCAAGAGUUUUUCUGAAUAAUUCAUUAUAUCUUGCUAAAAGUAAGAACAUACUGGUAUCACAGUAUAAAACGUUUUUAUUUUAACCAUGUGCUAUACAAAUGUCAUUUUUCUGCUUUCUGCAUUUAUUUAGUGUAGUUUAGGAGUUUAGCAGAAUUUCCUACAAGCCAAUCACAAUUUCCCAGAGCAGUUCAAAACCCAAAGAUAUUUAAAGGUGCAACGUGUAAGAAUUGAGACUAUUCUCUACCUGUCGAAGUCAUACUCGUAAAAAUAAGGGGCAGCAUAUCACAUUUCAGGUCAUGACAAUGACAGCUCAGGAAGAGGAGGUUUUCAGAACAGUGGAGAGACUAACCGAAACCUAAGACGGUUUUGGUCAGUUUUAUUUUAUUUCUGUUGAGUUUGAAUGAAGUGUGUUUUAUGAUGAGUUAAACUGCUCUUAGUUCAGUAAAAGAGAGAAAAUUUAAUUCAGAAAUUGUGCGGUUUCACUUUCUGUUCAAUAUCGAAAAUAGGUGUACAAAUAUUUCCUUUGAGUUUAUUUUGUUUAUUUACAGUAUUAGACUAAAAAAAGCUAAGAGAACGUGUGUAACAUAGUAACGUAGCAAACUCGCCGCUCGCACACAUCUCCCAGCUGAAACUAUGGGGGAGGCCUGAGCUAUACUAUCAGACUAUUGCCUCUUGAGGUACUAAGUGGUAUUACAAGACAGGACAGGCCGGGGCUAGCUGGUUAGCAUGCUAACUUAAGUAGAUAUCUCUGCAACACAAUACAUAACGGCAUAAUUUCUUUAUUCUUAAUUUUUUGAAUGUUUUAAACUUAAAUCUCUUAAAUUCUUAAACGUUGCACCUUUAAGUAGCAAAGAUAUAAAACAGAAAAGCAGAAAAUCUGAAGCUAGAUCCAGUAAAUUACUUUUGUCAACAAUUAAUUGACAGAUUGUCAAAAUGUUCAAUUAAUUUUCUGCAGAUCAACAAAUCGCUUCACCACUAAACAGCCCAAACUACAAGUUCAGGGACAGGAAGGACACGAGAGAUGUGAUAAUAUGAGGUUAGUGAGAUGCAGAUAUAUACAAAUUAUCUCUAAAUGAUCAUAUAUAAAUAAAUAAAGCACAUUUGUGCUUCAACAUACAGCUAGAUAGGAUAACUGCAGUGACUAUUUGUCAUUUCACCUGAGUUAAACUUCUCACAAUUAUGUGAAGGACAAAUGUGACCAGAAGGUCGCCAGUUUGAUCCCUGGACAGACGAGAUAAAUGUUAAGGGCAUUGCUCAAGGGCACCUCAGUGGUGGUAAUAAAGGAGGGACAAGCGCUACUCUUUCACUUACCCCACCCAAAAAGCACCAGUUGAGUGGACCGUUGUGUUGGGCAUCUUUCAGGUGUGAAUAUGUGUAACUGUGAGUGUGAUCAGGGCAUUCCUGCUGAGGAUAGCAUUGCUUCCUGUAAUAACUUCCCUGAAUAAAUAAAGAAUUAAAAUGUG